rnacentral:misc_RNA from 1 species
UUUCCGUAGGUGAACCUGCGGAAGGAUCAUUACAGAGUUCAUGCCCUCACGGGUAGAUCUCCCACCCUUGAUAAUUUAUACCUUGGUUGCUUUGUCAGGCCGUGGAAACACUAUGGGCUCCGGCUUAUGCGUGCCUGCCAGAGGAAACAAACUCUGUCUUUAGUUAUGUCUGAGUACUAUAUAAUAGUUAAAACUUUCAACAACGGAUCUCUUGGUUCUG